UCGGACGUGGUGCACGGUGCACGCCUGCCUUCUGUGGAUCAUCUUGGACCAAGUCAGAGCGGGAGCCCUGGGUUCGAUUCCCAGCGUCCGAA